GUACUGAAUGUUGCAGGAGGGCAAGUUUCCCAGAUGGGAACCAGGACAUCUUUCGGAAUGAAGAUGAUGAAGGUCUAGUGGUAUGAUGACCAGAGAUGGGGAGAGUAACAGCUAGAAAGACAAAGAAAGAGAAAACUCACUGUAUUCAUAUCAACUGUUCCUGUAACACCACCAUCAAUUGAAGGAUUAGAAGAGGGAAAUGCCCUUGGAAAGGGGGACUGUGAAGAGACUAUUCCUGGAAAGCUGUAUCUGGGCAGUGAAAAGGAGCAAGUAGCUUUGCAAGAAGCUUUAUCAGCUUCCAUCACCCAGUGAAGUUGUCUCCAGA